rnacentral:lncRNA from 7 species
AAUCUCCUUGUGGUGAUCCCUCCUUUGUGGAGCUUUUCAGUGUGAGCCUAAAUCUUUGCAUACAGAGUUAAUGGAGACGCUCCAAACAGAGGAUUAAGUGGAAAGCAGAGUUUUGCAGCAACCUGAGAUAUUAAAAGGAAAACCAACUGACAGAGCAGAAAAAAAGACAGCCAACUUACGGCAACGCGGCAGUAUUUUCCACCAAAAAGUCGCCGUUAAAUCCCCCACAAUUACUCACAGCUAUCGGGGUGCGCAGUGGCCGUGACACCCAGCAGGGUGCCAAGGAGCUGCUGUGGGAACUGGCUGGAGCAACAACAGAGCCCAGCCAGCUCCCUCCCAUUGACAGCAAGCUCAGCAAAGCAUUGAAGCUGGCUGAACUUACACCUUGGGGUGGUUCAGUGUCACCUGCUCAGAAACAAGGAGCAGCUUUGCUAGACCGUCCCAGCAGCACAGAAGUGCCAUCUGGACCUGGGAGAAGUGUGAAUCUUGUCUCAACUACAGAUGAUCCUAGCACUGUGCAAGCAAACACCCUUAAGGAAAGGUAGGGACGAUACAUUUUUUGGCCUUGUUUAGGCAUCAACAUUUGGGUUUUUAUGGAAAAAUGCUUCACAGAAACAAAGGUAUGAUUUAUCUUUUCCUACCUCUCUUCAUUUCAAAACAUGCCUGAACUUGCAUAAACUAUAACACCCAGUUCAAGCUUGAACAGUCACUGUGGUUCAUCUAUUGUAUAAAUGCUUGCAGAUCACACUGUACUGUGUGAUUUUUUUUUCACAGCAUUUAGAAUGUGCAGCUGCAUAUGGGAAUGUAGGAGGGGUCAGCAUUGAAGGGGUUCACAUUCAGCACUGCCUACAGGAAUCCCAAAACUAAAAAUGAGCCAGAGGAGAACAGCAGCACUUAUCCUUCUGUUCACUUAUGGUCAACAUGCAAUUCCAAGGAUCUAUGUCAGAUUUCACAAUUCUACAAAGGCAAUCCUGCAAAUCUUUCAAUUCACAGUAAUAAAUUUGUAGGCACCUGAUGAUGGGAUUGAGAUCUGAAAUGAAUAUUUACUUUUGUUCAUGAGGCAUGUACCAACUAUCUAUAAGCAGUAACCUAAUCAAACUAUCCAUGGAUUUGAAGAAUUCUGUUUGAACAGAACAAUCACAAGAUCUGUAAGCAUACUUAAGUUUUUCUGCCUCUCAUUGAUUUCACCACAGACAGUCAAAUUGAAGUUAGAUCUGUAAAUGCUUGUCCUUAUUGUAUUAUGUCAGAGAUAGAAUUUUGUUCCGAUUAAGGGCACUGCCACCGUGACAUAAAACUAUGUGACAUAAAUUAAUAUAGCAAGAAAGUCAAAAUGUCCAUGAAAAAUAUGUUCACAUACCUUGUCUGUCUUCCCAACCUUUUCUUUGCUUCUUUGAUUUGCUGCACUCCUUCCUAUGUUCUGCUUUGGUCACUCUCAGUAAGAAAAACUCAUUACAGCAAAUUUUCUUCAAAUUGAUGCCAGUUGAUUUAAUUUCAGGAAGAAACAGAACCUUGUUAACAAUGGCUACUUUUUGCAGCUUUUCUGAUUUGAGCUACAGAUACUAAUGUACCACAAGUAUUUAAUAGUCAAUAGUAUUAGGAGUAUGAAUUUGAAACAAACACAGUUUUUGUUCACGAUCUGUCUCGUGCAUUU